AUUGAACGCUGGCGGCAUGCCUUACACAUGCAAGUCGAACGGUAACGGGUCCUUCGGGAUGCCGACGAGUGGCGAACGGGUGAGUAAUAUAUCGGAACGUGCCCAGUAGUGGGGGAUAACUGCUCGAAAGAGCAGCUAAUACCGCAUACGACCUGAGGGUGAAAGGGGGGGAUCGCAAGACCUCUCGCUAUUGGAGCGGCCGAUAUCAGAUUAGCUAGUUGGUGGGGUAAAGGCCUACCAAGGCAACGAUCUGUAGUUGGUCUGAGAGGACGGCCAGCCACACUGGGGCGAAGACACGGGCCAGACUCCUACGGGAGGCAGCAGUGGGGAAUUUUGGAAAAUGGGCGCAAGCCUGAUCCAGCAAUGCCGCGUGCAGGAAGAAGGCCUUCGGGUUGUAAACUGCUUUUGUCAGUGAAGAAAUCUUCUGGGCUAAUACCCCGGGAGGAUGACGGUACCUGAAGAAUAAGCACCGGCUAACUACGUGCCAGCAGCCGCCGUAAUAC
rnacentral:rRNA from 1 species